GAUGAACGCUAGCUACAGGCUUAACACAUGCAAGUCGAGGGACCGGCGCACGGGUGAGUAACACGUAUCCAACCUGCCCUUUACUCGGGGAUAGCCUUUCGAAAGAAAGAUUAAUACCCGAUAUAAAGGAUGGGGAUGCGUUCCAUUAGGUUGUUGGUGAGGUAACGGCCCACCAAGCCUUCGAUGGGUAGGGGUUCGGAGAGGAAGGUACCCCACAUUGGAACUGGGACACGGUCCAAACUCCUACGGGAGGCAGCAGUGAGGAAUAUUGGUCAAUGGGGGCGAGCCGGAACCAGCCAAGUAGAGUGAAGGAUGAAGGCUUAUGGGUCGUAAACUUCUUUUAUAUAAGAAUAUGUAUUAUAUGAAUAAGGAUCGGCUAACUCCGUGCCAGCAGCCGCGGUAAUUC
rnacentral:rRNA from 1 species